GCCUACGGGGGGCAGCAGUGGGGAAUAUUGCACAAUGGGGGGAACCCUGAUGCAGCGACGCCGCGUGAGUGAAGAAGUAUUUCGGUAUGUAAAGCUCUGUCAGCAGGGAAGAAGAAAGACGGUACCUGACCAAGAAGCCCCGGCUAACUACGUGCCAGCAGCCGCGGUAAUACGUAGGGGGCAAGCGUUAUCCGGAUUUACUGGGUGUAAAGGGUGCGCAGGCGGACCAUCAAGUCAGCGGUAAAAUCGUGGGGCCCAACCCCAUCCCGCCGUUGAAACUGGCGGUCUUGCGUG
rnacentral:rRNA from 1 species